rnacentral:rRNA from 1 species
CCUACGGGAGGCAGCAGUAGGGAAUCUUUCACAAUGGGCGAAAGCCUGAUGGAGCAACGCCGCGUGCAGGAUGAAGGCCUUCGGGUUGUAAACUGCUUUUAUAAGCGAGAAAUAUGAUGGUAACUUAUGAAUAAGGAUCGGCUAACUACGUGCCAGCAGCCGCGGUCAUACGUAGGAUCCGAGCAUUAUCCGGAGUGACUGGGUGUAAAGAGUUGCGUAGGUGGCAUAAUAAGUAGCUAGUGCAAUCUGGUGGCUCAACCAUUCAGACUAUUAGCUAAACUGUUAAGCUCGAGACCGUUAGAGGUAACUGGAAUUUCUAGUGUAGGAGUGAAAUCCGUAGAUAUUAGAAGGAACACCAAUAGCGUAGGCAGGUUGCUGGGACGGUUCUGACACUAAGGCACGAAAGCGUAGGGAGCAAACGGGAUUAGAUACCCGGGUAGUC